ACAAAUGUCUAGUUUUAUUGCAGGGAAUACGCAAGGUUAAAGUUUAACAACAAACACUGAGCCUCACUUUUCAUAUUCGCAGACAACAUGAAAACACGUGGAUCCAAACACAGCCUUUCCUAUUAAAAUGCCUCAUAUAUUACAAAUAAUACUGAAUGUUUACUGUACGAGGCCAGUACACGUACUGAACUUUGAACUAAGACUAAAGUAAACAAAGAUUUUUGUUUUGUUUGUUUGCUUGUUUUUUUUUUUGGCACCUGAAACAUUUGAAAAAGCUAAACAAACACUGGAUGAGUGAAUAAAAUUAACACUAAAUCUGAUACCUGAACACAGUAAAAUAUCUUCAUUUUUAACAUAUUUAUGGCUGUGAUGAACCAGCAUCUCUCUCAUGUGUUUUAAUACGUGUGACAUGACGUCAUGAGUCUGCACACAGACGUCGUGUUGAACAGAUGGUGCUGUGGUGAGGUCAGAAUAAGAGCUGAUUACGCUCAAAACUGAGGCUUUUUUGUCUGAUUGUAAACAUCCCGGAAAGUUAAAUGUUGCUACCAGGGGCGUCAUAGUGGGGGCUAAAGGGAUGCUCAGAUAAAGACACCCACCGAGGCAAAGGAAGGUGGCAGCAGAAGGUCGCAAAAAUCUCGGAGUCCGACCUCGUACACCUGCGUGACACGUUCAUAUUGACCCACAGCUGUGUGUAAAGCGUGAGUGUUUAAUGAGGGUCUGUACAGCUUUGGAUUCUGUUAGUGUGUGUUUGAACUGACCUGAAUUUCCUCUCUGUGGGCAGAAGUUGAAAACGGUGAUAAAGUCCUGCAGAGCAUCGAUCCUGCAGAGGGUCUGUGUAGCAAAUAGUGGGAAAAAAGAUGUGAGAGAGGCUGAUGCAAGUGAAGAGAGCGUGGAAAAUGCCACAGAGAAGAGCCUCUGUGUCAGUGGUGAAAAUGGUUUUAGGGUAAAUGUAGAAGAAGGAUGAAUCAAAAUUAAAAACAAAAAACACAUUUCUCAUUGAUGUAUGAAUUUAAUUGUAAAAUUCUGAGAGCCUGUUCGUUGUGGGCGGGACUUAUUUUCAACGAGCCAGUGGGCGGGGCUUGUCUAAGACAUAAAAGGAAAGAGAAUCAGGCCUGACGUCACAGUCAACACAAGUCCAUAUAUAGACAGAUGAAACCGCACACAGGACAAGCACGUUUCUUACCUCCAGUCACGAGCAAGUCUCUAAACGAACUUUAGUUCUGCUACAGACAACUUCAAACCCUGAUUCAUAUCUGAAUAUCUGACUCAUUGUACCACGGUAGAUUUGUUUCACAGUUAAAUAUCACAAAUGAGCUACCAGAAAGGAAAACCAAAAUUUGUGUACAUUCUCCCACAGAGUAAACUCGACAACUUUAUUCGGGCUAGGAAAGCCUUCGAAAACACUAUGUCUGAGACACUCAAACAGCUGAAUGCCCAAAUUUUAAUGUUAAGCACCAAGCCGGACCAAAAUGAGAUCCGAGCUGGAAAACUCACUGAUCAAUCAGCUUCACGCAAAGUUCAAAUGAGCAGCGCCGCCAAAGAAAAAGGGGAUCAGACUUGUUCAGAUCAGGAAAAGACCAUAAACUUUGACCUUGAGAUGAACCGUCUUAAAGAGCAGCUUCAGCAGAGGGACAGUGAAAUCCUGAUCCUGAAACAGGAGAAGGACAGUCUGUCUGCUGAGCUCACGCAGCUUCAGAAACAUGAAGGAAAUCUGAAAGAAACUCUGUGGAAUGCUCUGUGGAAAGAACAAACACAGAGAGAGAGUCUGGAGCGGGAGAAAAAAGUCCUGGAAGAAGAAAAAAAGAAACUCCUGGAAGAGCAGAAAGUGGUGAACGACACAAAAGAAAAACUUAAAAAGGCCAUGAAAGCUCUGCACCCACAGAGUGAAAAGAGAGAAACUUCUACACAGGAUCACCAGGAAGCAUCUGGGACAACACAGAAGAAAAUCUUCACAGCUGACAAACAAGACUUUGAUAAAAUAGAACCUUGUCCCCUGGAAAUGCCUGUGAAGCCAGCAGACUCUCGCUCAGAUUUAAGUCCUUCUGACAUCAGUCUGGUCAUUAGGGAUUAUUGUCUGAUUGGGGAAAAGUUGUGUGUCAACAGAGUGAUCCAGUUGGUGGUUUUUCAGGCCAUAGAAAAAGUCUCCUCUAAACACAAGUUCUUCACAGAGCGCCUCACUCCUGACUGCAUCAGCGAUCGCCUGAUUCAGAAAAUCUGGCCUGAAAUUAAGAAGAAACAUUUGGAUUUGUCCCCAAAACGGCUGAAAAAUCUAGACAAGGCCAUUCUCAAGGAUCUAUGCAAAGCACACAGCUGCAAGGACAAAUAUUUGAUUUUUAAUCUGAGGGAACAGCUUGAUAAUAUUACUGUCCCAGCCUUCACCAAAAAGCUGCUGUCAUUACCAAGAAGAGUCCUCAGUGUCUCUAAAAACAGGGAAGAGUACAAGGAUGUGGUGAAAAAUGUCACUAAAGAUCUGGUAAUGCACGCUAUGAGCCAAGAAAAUGAUACAACGGAUCCAGGAACAUCUGAGUUUAUUAUACAGAAGCUUUCCCAUAAGAUCUGGAACAAAAUUUUGUCCAAAAACUACACAAUGUCCUUGGAGAACAUUGAACAACUCGCCCUGACAGUAUACAACGAACUUAACAAAAAGUGGCCUUCUCCAGUAUUCUCAAUGAAGUUGAGCAACCCAGCGGUUGACAAAGAAAUUGUCAGCAGCUUCAAAAAACAUGCCAAACUGAGGAGCCAAAACUUCAUUUUUAGGGCUUUCUCAUGUGCACGCUAAAAUUUAACUGAAACGCGCAUGCGAUUAUGUGACAAAACUCUUAAAGUGGCUUAAAAUAUUCAUUUAAAUUUGGCAUCUAAAUUUAAUUUUCAAACCAGAGUGGUUAAAGAGAACCACUCUUCUUCUCCCAACUUCCUUCCUAUAUCACCAACUGGCCGAGGCAGAUGGCCACCCCAUCCCAGAGCCUGGGUCUGUCGAAGGUUUCUCUCUUUUAAAAGAGAGUUUUUCCUUCCCACUGUCGCCAAAGUGCUUGCUCUAGGGGGUUGGAGUUUUUGUGCAUUAUUGUAGGGUCUUGACCUUACAAUAUAAAGCACCAUGAGGGAAGUGUUGUUGGAGUUUGGUGCUGUUUCUUAGCUCAAAAUGUCCAAUUACAACAGGACAUUUUGAGUUCAGAAAUAGCACCAAAUCACAAAUUAAAAAAAUAAAACAAAAUAAAAUAAACCUU
ensembl:lncRNA